rnacentral:tRNA from 1 species
AUCAUUUAGGCGGUUCGCGUAAGGUUUAGGGCUUUAAGGAGGUUAAAACCAAAUGAUA